CAGCCGCCGCGGUAAUACGAAGGGGGCUAGCGUUGCUCGGAAUUACUGGGCGUAAAGGGCGCGUAGGCGGACAGUUUAGUCGGGGGUGAAAGCCCGGGGCUCAACCUCGGAAUUGCCUUCGAUACUGGCUGUCUUGAGUGUGAGAGAGGUGUGUGGAACUCCGAGUGUAGAGGUGAAAUUCGUAGAUAUUCGGAAGAACACCAGUGGCGAAGGCGACACACUGGCUCACUACUGACGCUGAGGCGCGAAAGCGUGGGGAGCAAACAGGAUUAGAUACCCCAGUAGUCCCUGUCUCUUAUAC
rnacentral:rRNA from 1 species